GGUAACAUCAAAUCGUACCCCAAACCGACACAGGUGGUCAGGUAGAGAAUACCAAGGCGCUUGAGAGAACUCGGGUGAAGGAACUAGGCAAAAUGGUGCCGUAACUUCGGGAGAAGGCACGCUGAUAUGUAGGUGAAGUCCCUCGCGGAUGGAGCUGAAAUCAGUCGAAGAUACCAGCUGGCUGCAACUGUUUAUUAAAAACACAGCACUGUGCAAACACGAAAGUGGACGUAUACGGUGUGACGCCUGCCCGGU
rnacentral:rRNA from 1 species